rnacentral:rRNA from 1 species
GAUGAACGCUGGCGGCGUGCCUAAUACAUGCAAGUCGAACGCACAGCGAAAGGUGCUUGCACCUUUCAAGUGAGUGGCGAACGGUUGAGUAACACGUGGACAACCUGCCUCAAGGCUGGGGAUAACAUUUGGAAACAGAUGCUAAUACCGAAUAAAACUCAGUGUCGCAUGACACAAAGUUAAAAGGCGCUUUGGCGUCACCUAGAGAUGGAUCCGCGGUGCAUUAGUUAGUUGGUGGCGUAAAGGCCUACCAAGACAAUGAUGCAUAGCCGAGUUGAGAGACUGAUCGGCCACAGUGGGACUGAGACACGGCCCAAACUCCUACGGGAGGCUGCGGUAGGGAAUCUUCCACAAUGGGCGAAAGCCUGAUGGAGCAACGCCGCGUGUGUGAUGAAGGCUUGCGGGUCGUAAAGCACUGUUGUAUGGGAAGAACAGCUAGAAUAGGGAAUGAUUUUAGUUUGACGGUACCAUACCAGAAAGGGACGGCUAAAUACGUGCCAGCAGCCGCCGUAA